rnacentral:lncRNA from 1 species
AUAACCACGAGUCCACUCCACUACCCUUCGCCGCAUAUUCUGCCUGACCCCUGGGCAGCCCACUACGAGGCGGUUACAAAUGUCACCAUCAGUCCGUUACCUCCUCCGCUUAUAAAAGGGAGGACUCAGAUACGUUAUUCUAUAAGCUCAUUUCUUAUCCUGAAACUCUGCUAAAUUCUCCAUUCGAGCGCUCCAUUCUUGUUGAGGCAGAGAACUGACUUGAGCGUCGGAGGGUCUUGUCGGAGCAACCCCACCUCCG